AGUGAACGCUGGCGGUAGGCCUAACACUUGCAAGUCGAACGGCAGCACAGUAAGAGCUUGCUCUUACGGGUGGCGAGUGGCGGACGGGUGAGGAAUACAUCGGAAUCUACUUUUUCGUGGGGGAUAACGUAGGGAAACUUACGCUAAUACCGCAUACGACCUACGGGUGAAAGCAGGGGAUCAUCGGACCUUGCGCGAUUGAAUGAGCCGAUGUCGGAUUAGCUAGUUGGCGGGGUAAAGGCCCACCAAGGCGACGAUCCGUAGCUGGUCUGAGAGGAUGAUCAGCCACACUGGAACUGAGACACGGUCCAGACUCCUACGGGAGGCAGCAGUGGGGAAUAUUGGACAAUGGGCGCAAGCCUGAUCCAGCCAUACCGCGUGGGUGAAGAAGGCCUGCGGGUUGUAAAGCCCUUUUGUUGGGAAAGAAAAGCAGCAGGUUAAUACCCCGCUGUUCUGACGGUACCCAAAGAAUAAGCACCGGCUAACUUCGU
rnacentral:rRNA from 1 species